rnacentral:lncRNA from 1 species
GAUUAUUUUUCUUUGAGUUCCAUUGAAAUAAGACAUCAAUUAAACCCAACCUCUAGACCCCAUCAAAUCAUGUUCUCUGUUCGCAGGGGCAGUACUAAUCAAGCGCUCACUAUUCUUUCAUGGAGAUGUUUUUGAUUUUAGCAAGGUUUUUCUUCCCUCGCUAAGCUGGAAGCACUUCGCGCGUAAAGAACAGCACCGGUUCCCAAAUUGUCCGUGUUCUGCAGCUGCGAAUAUCGCUCGGUAAUUGGCGGAGAGCACAUCAAUCAUGCGUUUAGCCGCACCCCUCCCCCCAUUCAGCCAGUCUGGUGGCUGUUCCUGUGUGUUUACUACACGGACCACGCAGCAGCAGACACUUGGUUUCACAUGCACCUAACUCACAAUAGCUAGCGAGCUAAACACUUUAUAGUUCCAUCUGAAAGAGAAUCUCCAACAAUCCAACAUGCCCAAGAGAAAGCAGGGAGCCGCUGGGGACACCAAGGAGGAGCCCCAGAGGAGAUCCGCCCGGUUAUCAGCGAAGCCAGCCCCAGCCAAGGCUGAACCCAAGGCCAAGAAGGAGAAACCAGCAAAGAAAGAGAAGGCUGUGAAUGACAAGAAGGAGGAGAAGAAAACUAAGAAGGCAGCAGCGAAGGAGAACGCAGAGGCCGCUGAGGAGAACCACUCUGAGAACGGAGGCGCUAAGACCAACCAGAUUGAGGAUGCUCCCGAGGCAGAGAAGGAGGAAGCCAAGUCUGAGUAGCAACACUGCCAACCCCUGACCUCCGACCCCAACCCUUCCCACCAGCCUGCCCCAGUGUUCGUGGUCCCCCUCCAAGACAUAUUGUUAACAGAGGAAUAUUUUUAUCAGUGAUUUUAUAAGUAUACUAUCUACUAUCCGUACAGAUUUUUAGCACAAAGCAAAGCUGAGUAAUAUAAUGUAGAUCUGCAGUGGUCAUAUCAACAAAGUGUCUGCAGGCAAGAUGAACACACUAAAAUCUUUUUUAAUUAAACAGCAUUUCAUGAUUGUGUAGGAAGCAAAGCGCGUCCCGUCCCAUAGUGACUUGUGUUCCUGUGCCCCCCUCCUCCACAGUUGGUUCUCCUAGGGUUCUACCUUAUUCCUGGUUAAUUAACGGUUCUCCCUGACGUUCCCUUGCUUUGUCUAAAUGUUCCUGUUUUUACAUUAAACAUGUUCUAAGCGUGUUGAAAGUGUGUUGUCCAAUAAGAAAGAGGAAGAGGAUCAUGAGAAACAUUCUGGACAGAGUGACAUGCUUGUGUCUCCUAGGCGACCCUGUAACAGUGACAUGCGUGUGUCUCCUAGGCGACCCUGUAACAGUGACAUGCGUGUGUCUCCUAGGCGACCCUGUAACAGUGACAUGCGUGUGUCUCCUAGGCGACCCUGUAACAGUGACAUGCGUGUCUCCUAGACGAUCCGGUAACAGUGACAUGCGUGUCUCCUAGGCGACCACAGCAGUAGUGUGUGACAGCUCUCCAUCUUGCUGGUUUUCUAACACAUGUUUUUUUAGAUGAGCGGUUCUCUGACGUGUCUGUCCCUCUGAUGUUCUGGAAUUCUUCAAUAAAACAAGUCCUGUGAAUUUUCCUCAAAACUUUGUUGUCGUUAUUACAUCC